CCUACGGGGGGCAGCAGUGGGGAAUAUUGCACAACGGGCGCAAGCCUGAUGCAGCCAUGCCGCGUGUGUGAAGAAGGCCUUCGGGUUGUAAAGCACUUUCAGCGGAGAGGAAGGCGGUGAGGUUAAUAACCUCAUCGAUUGACGUUACCCGCAGAAGAAGCACCGGCUAACUCCGUGCCAGCAGCCGCGGUAAUACGGAGGGUGCAAGCGUUAAUCGGAAUUACUGGGCGUAAAGCGCACGCAGGCGGUCUGUCAAGUCGGAUGUGAAAUCCCCGGGCUCAACCUGGGAACCGCAUUCGAAACUGGCAGGCUAGAGUCUUGUAGAGGGGGGUAGAAUUCCAGGUGUAGCGGUGAAAUGCGUAGAGAUCUGGAGGAAUACCGGUGGCGAAGGCGGCCCCCUGGACAAAGACUGACGCUCAGGUGCGAAAGCGUGGGGAGCAAACAGGAUUAGAUACCCCUGUAGUC
rnacentral:rRNA from 1 species